CCUACGGGAGGCAGCAGUGAGGAAUAUUGGUCAAUGGACGAGAGUCUGAACCAGCCAAGUAGCGUGAAGGAUGACUGCCCUAUGGGUUGUAAACUUCUUUUAUACGGGAAUAAAGUGAGGCACGUGUGCCUUUUUGUAUGUACCGUAUGAAUAAGGAUCGGCUAACUCCGUGCCAGCAGCCGCGGUAAUACGGAGGAUCCGAGCGUUAUCCGGAUUUAUUGGGUUUAAAGGGUGCGUAGGUGGUGAUUUAAGUCAGCGGUGAAAGUUUGUGGCUCAACCAUAAAAUUGCCGUUGAAACUGGGUUACUUGAGUGUGUUUGAGGUAGGCGGAAUGCGUGGUGUAGCGGUGAAAUGCAUAGAUAUCACGCAGAACUCCGAUUGCGAAGGCAGCCUGCUAAGCUGCAACUGACAUUGAGGCUCGAAAG
rnacentral:rRNA from 1 species